rnacentral:rRNA from 1 species
GACGAACGCUGGCGGCGUGCCUAAUACAUGCAAGUAGAACGCACAGUUUAUACCGUAGCUUGCUACACCAUAAACUGUGAGUUGCGAACGGGUGAGUAACGCGUAGGUAACCUGCCUGGUAGCGGGGGAUAACUAUUGGAAACGAUAGCUAAUACCGCAUAAUAUUGAUUAUUGCAUGAUAAUUGAUUGAAAGAUGCUAUUGCAUCACUACCAGAUGGACCUGCGUUGUAUUAGCUAGUAGGUGAGGUAACGGCUCACCUAGGCGACGAUACAUAGCCGACCUGAGAGGGUGAUCGGCCACACUGGGACUGAGACAUGGCCCAGACUCCUACGGGAGGCAGCAGUAGGGAAUCUUCGGCAAUGGACGAAAGUCUGACCGAGCAACGCCGCGUGAGUGAAGAAGGUUUUCGGAUCGUAAAGCUCUGUUGUAAGAGAAGAACGGGUGUGAGAGUGGAAAGUUCACACUGUGACGGUAUCUUACCAGAAAGGGACGGCUAACUACGUG